AUUGAACGCUGGCGGCAGGCCUAACACAUGCAAGUCGAGCGGAUGAAGGGAGCUUGCUCCUGGAUUCAGCGGCGGACGGGUGAGUAAUGCCUAGGAAUCUGCCUGGUAGUGGGGGAUAACGUCCGGAAACGGGCGCUAAUACCGCAUACGUCCUGAGGGAGAAAGUGGGGGAUCUUCGGACCUCACGCUCUCAGAUGAGCCUAGGUCGGAUUAGCUAGUUGGUGGGGUAAAGGCCUACCAAGGCGACGAUCCGUAACUGGUCUGAGAGGAUGAUCAGUCACACUGGAACUGAGACACGGUCCAGACUCCUACGGGAGGCAGCAGUGGGGAAUAUUGGACAAUGGGCGAAAGCCUGAUCCAGCCAUGCCGCGUGUGUGAAGAAGGUCUUCGGAUUGUAAAGCACUUUAAGUUGGGAGGAAGGGCAGUAAGUUAAUACCGUGCUGUUUUGACGGUACCAACAGAAUAAGCACCGGCUAACUUCGUG
rnacentral:rRNA from 1 species